UACGUAGGGUGCGAGCGUUGUCCGGAAUUAUUGGGCGUAAAGGGCUCGUAGGCGGUUUGUCGCGUCGGGAGUGAAAUCCACUGGCUUAACUGGUGGCUUGCUUUCGAUACGGGCAGACUGGAGGUAUGCAGGGGAGAACGGAAUUCCUGGUGUAGCGGUGAAAUGCGCAGAUAUCAGGAAGAACACCUAUGGCGAAGGCAACACUCUGGGACGGUACUGACGCUGAGACGCGAAAGCGUGGGGAGCGAACAGG
rnacentral:rRNA from 1 species